rnacentral:rRNA from 1 species
CAGCGUAUACUAAAGUUGCUGCAGUUAAAAAGCUCGUAGUUGGAUGUUGGGAUUGAUGCCGGUGGUCCACCGCAAGGUCGGAUUCGCCUGUCCCAGCCCCUUCCUGGGGCGCUCCCUGGAUGCUCUUGACUGAGUGUCCUGUGGAGCCCAAAGCGUUUACUUUGAAAAAAAUAGAGUGUUCAAGGCAGGCCCAGUGUCUGAAUACCAAAGCUGGGAAUAAUGGAAAAGGACUUCGGUUCUAUUUCGUGGGUUUGCUCCUGAGCCGGAGUCAUGAUUAAGAGGGACGGCCGGGGGCAUCCGUAUUGUGCCGCUAGAGGUGAAAUUCUUGGACCGGCACAAGACGAACGAAAG